AGGGCAGAGCUCUGGCCUUCUCGAUGGCCCACCUCCGCCUCUCCCGGCUAUUGCAAGGUGUCUGUGAUCACUGCCUCCUUCAUCCCCUCCUUCUUGCCCAGCUUCAGCCCUGGAGCCAUUAGCAGUGUGACUCUGUCUGGAUCCUGGGUAAACCGUGCAGUCUCUUCGGGCCUAAGUUUCUCUGCUGAAAUGGAGAUAAGAAUUCUCCCCUGAUCUCCUCCUGAGCUUGUUAAAGGAUCUGAUGGACCCGAGGACGAUUCUGGCAAGUGGUGCAAAGAAUACAGAUAUCAGACAGUGGGUAUAUUAACGACUGUUACCAUUACUACCACGCUGCUGCUGUCUAAACCCUUCCUGACUUGAGAUCUCGGCUAACUCUCCCCUCCCUUGGACCGGUGACUCUGCACAUCCGCGGAAGGGAGGCUUGGGAACUUGUUUUAAAGAUUUCCUCCCAGCCCUGCAGGGCGGGGCAGAUCCUGGAGGAAGCUCAGCUGCCCCGCCUCCUCCCUGCACGGGCAGCUGGCUCCUCCCCCUCCCAGAACCCAGCAACGGGAGGAGGAGCAAAGCGGGGAGGGCCGCUAUAAGAGCAUUAAUGGCCGGGCAGGUUGGAGGGAGACCGCAGACAGAUGCUGGUUGUGCUUGUGUUUUCCAACGUUAGGGCCUCAGAACCAGAAAAAAACAACAACAACAACAAAAAAAAAACUGGGAGCUUUAAAACCAGGAGGCUAAUUGUUCGGAUGGGAAGAUGUUAUUUACAGUAAUGGGGUAAUGAGGAAGGAGGCGCAGAAUGAGAAGGGUGGUUUUGGCUGGAGCAGCCCAGUCCAUCCGGGGGGUUUCUGGGGGCAGCCAGGGGGCCAUCCUCUUGAGUCGGGCCGUCUACCUGCGUUUACCCUGUAUCUCACAAGUCACCCUCCUUUGGGGAAGGCCCACAUGAAACAGAAGCAGACAUCUCCUCGCCCAGGGUUUCUGGAGUGGGAGCCAGAUCACCUCCCCAGCCAGCAUGAAACACGUGGCCCUGGCCCAGGGAGCCUUCUAUUCUUUAAGGCCCAAUCAGUCACCCCCUCUCAGGAAGCCCUCCUGACUUCUGCAACUCACAGGUGGUCUCUUCAGACCCCCUGGAUCUCUGAGUCUGAACUGCAGAGACCCUUGACCACACAGCUUGCUGGGCUCGAGUUGGGAAAGGAGGAUGAAUUACACUGGGGGGCUUUAGGAUAAGUGGAUGGAGUUGGGGAGGAGGAGAGGGGUUAAAUUCUUCAGCAGCUCAGCUGAAGGAAGAAAUUGGAAAAUCCAGGUAACAAGGGCUCUGUGGGGCCCCAAGCCUCUGGCCCCUCAUUCAUCUGCCUGCUCA